UUUGAGCAAGUUCUCCAUAGGUCUGACCAUCAAAGCGCAUCCUGUGAUCAGCCACGCAGCACCUGGGCACAGUGGGAACGAACGGGCUGCUGCGCUGGGUCUCAGGCAGAGGAGCAGGAACAGCCGCAGCAGCAGGAACAGCCGCAGCAGCAGGAACAGCCGCAGCAGCAGGAACAGCCGCAGGAGUCUCACAGGUGGGGCCCUCCCUGGAGGAAAACACCUUCAAGGAAAUACCAUGGCGCUGAUGCUCCUGCUCCUCCGGUGCUGACAGUGUGUGGUGUGGGCGCAACAGCACUUGCCCAGGCUGCUCAGCAGCUUCGGCCGUUUCCGUUUUCCUUCCAAAAACGUUCUUUUUGAAAGAUCUUCCACUUAUUGCAAAUCGACUGCUCCUGCAGUGCUCACAUCAGCAUUUCGCCCCCUUUGGAAACAGACCGUAAGGCAGGUGCCUGCUGGUGUUUGUGCGUCCCGUCCGCGGCCGGCGGAGGCUGCCGCCCGUCCCCCGUGUCCGGCACAGCCCGGGGCUGGCGGGUCUGGACCCCCGUGUCUGCAGCGCAGGGGUCGAGCGGACGCAUCCGGGCUGUGCGCAGCUGGGGGGGAGGCGGAGGCCGCGCCCGGGACACCGGGGAGGUGAGCUGAACCGCUCUCUUCCAAAGCCUUUUAAUUACAGGGGAUUAAUUACAUUUUAAUGGUUCUAAUCUGAUUUACUCUGAUCUGAACAACGCGAGACCUUCCCCACCAAAACCCUCCUGGAGCCCCCGGGGGCGGCAGCGCCGGGUCUCCCAGCGCCGGCCGCCGGGGCUGCUCCGGGGAGCGGCACUGAGCGGCCCCGCCCCGCUGCGGCCACGCCCACUCGGCCACGCCCCUCCCGGUCUCUGCCGCCCCCUGGCGACGGCGGCUGGGACUGCGCGCUCGCGCCGCGCGCCUCGCCCGCGGUCUCUGGCGCCCCCUGGCGGCCGCCGCCGCACACCCUGGGCAGGACCCCCGGGCCCGUCGGUGCCGCGGCGGCUGCGCUGUUCGCCGGUUCCGCCCCGGGCCCCCCGCGCCCCGGCUGCGCAGCCGUGCGGGGCGGGGAACGGGCGGGAGGAGCCCCGGGCCUGCACUGCGCUGCUCGCUGCGCGUGCGGGCGGAACCGCCGCCUUCCGCCGCACAACCGUCCUCUCGGUUUGUCGUUGCUGUUUCCCCCAGGGCAGCACUGGGGAAACAGGGGUGACACAGAGACCUUGCCCGCUCAGUUAAACAAACACCUCGUCGCUGUUGCCCCGGGCCGCAGAUCAUCCCUUACACAACGCCCCGGCCCCGUCACCGGGCCACAGGCGGCACAUCAGGGACCCCGAGCUGCUCCCGUUGCACGGGAACCCCGUGCUCAGCGCCACCACGAGUAACUGUGGCUGUCGCUGCUUGCGUCCGCUCCUGUACCCGCUGUGACAGGUGAGGAACAGCAUCUCCGUGCUCAGGGAUUCCCCUCCCGGUCCCGCAUGUGCCAGCACAGCAUCCCGGCCAGCGCCCAGCUCUGCUGCUGGCACGGAAAGGGAUCGUGCGGCCGGGGCUGGGGCUCUGCAAAGCGUCAUCGCCCCAGCUCUGGAGGGGGCUAUUUCAACGCGUAAUUGUUCAUGGCGCGUGCUGAUGGCUCCCAAACCAGCUCUCGGGUCAGGCUGACUGCUCAGCUGCUGCGUUAAGCAUGGCUGACUCUGAUUACAGCGCAGAUCAGUCAUCGAUCUGAUCUGGAGCUUCCCACUCCUCUCCUCACAGUGGGGCUGGAGUCCACAUGAACUUCAUGGCGUGCGCCUUCCCGCUCCAAGCGCCGCAGCCGGAGAGCUGGACACACAGGCCUGGUCCCACCGCUCGGUUCCCGGCUGCGGUGGGCGCGUGUCUGCCCGCGGUCCUGGCGCCCGGGCGCGGUGUCUCCCGCAGCUCCUGGCCAGCACGGUGUCCUCUUGCUGUCUUGCCCAGCGGCACAGGGGAACCACGGGACCCGAGGCUCCCCGGGGCCUCAGCCCUGCCCUGGUGGGGUUGUGUGCCCAGGAGCAGGGGUCACACACAAAGGCGCCUUUUCUCAAAUGCAGGGUAGGCUCCUAAUGGAAAAAGAGAGAUUUGGAGGUUCUCUGGGGACAUGACAGAGAGCACAGGAGCAACAGCCACAUUGAUGAAUCCCCCACUGCCCAAUGCUGGUGAGGGAUGGAGGGACCUGGGCAGUGGCAGCGCUGCAGAGCGCUGGGGCUGGAGUGGCAGCAGUGGGGAGACGUCCCACUAGGAGAUGUCCCCAGGGAGAUGUCCCCCAGGGAAGUGUUCCACGGAGCGUGCAGGCACGGGCACCGCAGUCAGAGCUGGCAGCGAUGAGCUGCCUGCUGCCCUGGGGUGAGAUACGGCUGCAGAGGUUCAGCCUGAAGAUGCUCUCUCCUGUUAGCAAAAUGCCGUUGUCCUUCUGCCACAUCCCCUCCCAAGCAUGGCUCACAGCCAGCACCUUCUGCCAAGUGCUAAUAGUGCAGUUAAUUACCAGGGAUGGGGGGUGGACACAGGUGGCCCUGGGCAGGGCACGGUGAGCAGGCCCAGGGCUGCCCACAGUGUGGGAACAGGGCACAGCUGCGAGCGGGGAAAUGGCUUUUAACUGGGCUGCUAAAAAUCCUUCCCCCUCUCCCCGUUAGCAAAAGGAAACCUGGGCCUCCACUGCCCCGGACACUCUUGUUCUGCUCUGGCGCACCGACAGUAGCGGGAGCUGCUCAGGGACCCCACACAGGAAUUCACUGGCUCAAAAAGUGAGUGAGCCAGGACGUCCCAUUUGGCCCCUGGACAACUCAUGUCCUUCUGUGGGGCUGUGUGAGAACAGCCCAGCCCCACCGCACGUGCCCCAGAAAGCCUGUGAGCAGAGGCUUGAGUCUGGGGCUGAACUCGGUGGCUCUGGGGACGGCGGUGUGUGACGGGUCAGCUGCUGGCAGAGCUGGCAUGCACCAGACGCCGGGCGGUGCAGCCGCUGCUGCCACGGGCGCUCGCGGGAGCUGGAGCCAGCGGCCGCCAAGCGCGGUGCCCGCGGAGCAUCUGCUCUUCCUCUGCCGGCUGACGAGCACAAAGUGCAUGAGGAGAGGCGAAGAUGGACUUGCCCGGUUGCCACGUCUGAUACAGAAACACGGCAAGGCUCGGUUUGUAGGUCGAGAUAAUAGCUAUUGCCAGGCUAACCUAAACACGUUUUACACACAGACGCAGCAAUUGGCAGGAGUGAUAAUGGCAGCAGAGUGGAUAGUGCUACUGUCUGGGUUACAAAAGGGCUUUUAUUUAAUUAUGCUCAAUUCGCUGCCUCUGGAUUCCUGCACUGCCUGCAAGGCUGGGGUGCCCAGGGACCUGCCGGGGUGGCCAAGCAGCCUUGCGCGGUGCCACAACCUGCCGUGCCAGCUCCCAGGCUGUGCGGGGUGACGCCCGCGCUCCUCCCGGCUGGCUUGGCUCGAACCCCGCGCUGGUUUGAUUGCGGCUGUGGCACCUGGCAGAGCUGGCACUCACUCCGCUGCCUUCUAUUUUUAGUCUUCCCUUCGAGCGUGUGUGUGUGGCAGCUGCUGUCCCCGCGGAUCUCGCCAGGGUGAGGGGCGGCUCAGCUGGUGGGAGGCUGCUCCCCGCGGACAGGAGCGGCCAGCAGUCGCGGGUCUGGGGCAGCCGCAGGCAGCCGGGACCGCGCAGGUUCCCCCGGCCACGCCACCCGGACCGGGAGGUUUCGCGCUGGGGUUUCCCCUUGCUGAGGCGUCACCCCGACGGCGUGCGGGACGGGGUGGGAGGUCUGUGCCCCUGGGUAGUCAGUGGCCCUGCUGAGGCCCCUGGCGCUGCGACAGCUCAUGGAGCCCGUGGGGGAGUGGGGACACGGCGCUGGUGCCACCCGCAGUGACACCGGGCAGCCACCCAGGCUGAAGGUGCAGAUGGGACCAGGACGGUCCCGCGGCCCCGGGGCUCUCUGCCCGCCGGACAAACGCUGGGUUUGCUCCCCAAGCUGUGGCACCCGGUCCCAGCCGGGGUCUCACUCGGGGGGCUUUGGAGUGGGGGCUGCGGGGAGCACGGAAUCGCUUUUUUUCUCGCCUUUCUGUUUCCUCUGCGCCUGGCCAUCCCUGCAGCCCAAAGCCAGACCGUGGCUUUUAAAGGUGCUGUUUUCUUCUCUGCAGCUCUGACUCACUUCCUUUCCCACCGCUGCCGCCUUCAGCAGCUGGAGGAGCUGAAGAAGGUUCCUCCACGGGAUCCGUGCGGGUGGCCAGGAGCAGCUCCCGUGUGCUCUGCUCUGCUCCCCCUGCAGCUCAGACACCCAGCCUGGGUUCAGGAUGUGCCUGCGCUCCCCUGCGCCCUGUCCUACACCCACAGCCUUCUUAGGAGAAGCAAGCCAACACUAAUCAGUGCUCCUGUUCCUUUGCUUGCUUUUAUUGUUGGCUUUGAGCUUUUAGGCUCUCACUCAGACUGUUUGAUAUUUUGUCUGGAGCAUCUGGAAACCCUGAGAAUUGCAGACAGUGCAGGUAGUUGUCACAACACACAGGUAAUCCAUCUCUGCCCUUUCAAAGGAGGAUCUCAGGAGGGCUGAAGUUGUUCACCAAGGAAGCUUAUAACAGAUGCUUGAAGCUUUGGCUAAGGAUGCACUAAUUAAUCUCAGGGCCUCCUGCCAAGCAGCCCGGCAGAGCAGCCUGCCCAGCCUGGCACAGGCAGGUGCGGUGACAUCCCCGGGGUCACCGCCGGCAGGGUGGCAAGUCUGGGGAUGGGAGUCUUGAGCCCUCGGGGCCACUGGCACGAAGCUGGGCUGCUCGUGGGCGGGUGCGCAGGGGACCACGGGCGCCAGGGCUCUCACAACGUGCCCGGGCCAGGUACUGGGUGCUCCUGCUCCAGGGUGGGCAACGGGUGCCCGGAGCCCCACAUCCCUCUGGUGCGGUGAUGGGCACCCCCUGCCCCCCAGUCACGUCAGUCUCCAGCCGCUGCCUGAAGUCUCCUUGAAAGACCGCAGAGGUUCUGAGCCACCCACCAGCACAUCCCUGUGCCCCACGAGCCGCAGGAAACAAUCACUUGAAGCCUGGUUGCUUUUCCACCUUGAUUUACUAUCAGCUUUGACAAGCACUGUCUCUUGGCUCCUCCGAUACUGCCAGCCGUGUCUAAUGCUGUUGAUUUGAUAAUACAUCUAAUCUGGCUCUCUUGGAAACGCCCAGUAUCUCCGAGCUGCUGUUCUACUGGAACCAUCUUCCUUCCUUGCCUUCAUUCUAUCUUUCCCAGCUGGGGCCAAUCUGUCCAGGAAAUGGUCCAAUUUGCUUCCAUCUGAUGGGAGCGGAUCCCAGCUCUGUUCCCUUCAUCUCCUCUGGAGUCGAAAUCAGCCUAGGUCAUUAUUUUGAAAUCCUUCAUUUUCCUCCUCUGCAUUUUUGCUGCUGCUUUUCUCCCUCAGCAGGGGCACUAGUGACAAUACCUAUAAAUACCUCUUCCUUCAGGGUUUUCAGAGAGCAACCACCACCCACUUGGUGCAACACGGGUAUUUGAGAUCUAGACAAGAUAUUCCCCACUUUUUAGAACCUCCCGUGGUUUGAGGAGGAGCACCAGCAUCCUGUGUUAGAUGCAGCUUAAACUAGUGGGUCUGAGCCAGGCCUAAAUCUCUCUGCAGGCGUUCUCCGAGGGCUUGGGGCACCUGACACGCACGGAGCCCCUCGGCCCGGCACGCGGUGCCCUCUGCCAUGCACCCCGGCUGCCAGCGCCGCGCGGGAGGCCGGGGUCUUGUCACAUUGCAGAGUGUUGCUAAGGGACCUCUUGCCCCCCCCCAGCUCCAUCACACUCUCUGGACAGGCCCAGGAGGGUCUGUCUGUGCUCGCUGUCGUGCUGGGUACGACAGGCCUUAACGACCUGAGCAGCCACAGCUGGAGCCCCCACCCACCCCUAGGCAUGGCCCAGGAGCUCAUUUAAGCCCAGGGCUGGCCCUUGGUCUGGCUUAGGCAGAACUGUGGGAGCUGCUCUCUGGGUGUCCCGUGGGCACCUUGUCCCUGGGCUGGGUCCACUGACGGAGGGCGCAGCUUGUCUGCAGUCUUGUCCUUAGCCCUGUCUCCCAGAUGGGCUUUGGACCUGUGCUGUGGGCUUGUCUCUGGUCCUGUCUUCUUCCCUUAGAUGGACCCUGGACCUGAUGCUCUCCAGUGCUCAGGAUGGGGAGAAAGGCUGACUGCUUCUGCAUCGCUGGCAUCCUUCCACCUUCCCUGGUGCUCAGCUGGGACUGCAAUCGCUUGGCUUGACGCUGCCCCCAGACAGUGAUUUCAGUGGAGCCAUUAACUCAGCCUGUGCCAUGUACCCAGGGUCUCUGGUGUAACUUCAGGCUGAAGCAGAUGCCGUCUGUGGUGUAAAAGACCUUGGUGCUCUGAUUGCCUGGGGUGGAGUCCCCCAGAAGGAAAUGCUGCAGGUGUUACAGCCACACGUGGAGCUGCACCCGGAGCGUGCCCUUGUCCGCUGUGAGUCCUGGGUGUCACCUGCUGCUGCUCAGUGACCUGCUGGGCUGCGUCCGUGGAUCCACAAUCAGCCGGUUGGAUCUGUCAGGCCCGAGAAGCAUCGUCAAGUGAGAUCAAGGGAAACUCCCUGUACCCGGCUCUGAAACGUGGCUCCGCGGGGACGCGGCUGGCUGAGGAGCGCGGAGCCCCGGGGCCGUCGGCGGGGGAGCUGGACAUGUCCCCGGAGCGGCGGGGAACUGCAGAUCAGCGCUGUGAAACAAGGGGUUGCCGCCUUUUCCCUGGCCUUUCCAGGGCUGAGCAACUUAUUUAAUGCAAUGAAGCUAUUGCUCUGCACCCUGUGUGAGGGAGGACAUCACUGUCAUUGAACUCAGAUGACACCCCACGAGUGACAUUAUAAUGAGAGACAACUACUAGAGGCAAGAGCAAACACACCGCUGGACACUGCGCGUCAGGGAUGUAUCUGGAGAUCGCAGGCGGCAGUCCGUGGCGGGGCGCGGGUAUGAGAACGUUUCGGGUUUGCUGGUAAAGAGCCGUGCACACGUACUGUUGGUAACGGCUGCUGAUAAGUUACCCCAAGGGGCUGCCCCUGCCCCGCGACCGGAACGCCAGGCGUGGGGCGCGGCGAGGCUGUGGGCAGGGGU